AUUGAACGCUGGCGGCAUGCCUUACACAUGCAAGUCGAACGGCAGCACGGGAGCAAUCCUGGUGGCGAGUGGCGAACGGGUGAGUAAUGUAUCGGAACGUACCUUUCAGUGGGGGAUAACGUAGCGAAAGUUACGCUAAUACCGCAUAUUCUGUGAGCAGGAAAGCAGGGGAUCUUCGGACCUUGCGCUGGUUGAGCGGCCGAUAUCAGAUUAGCUAGUUGGUGAGGUAAAGGCUCACUAAGGCGACGAUCUGUAGCGGGUCUGAGAGGAUGAUCCGCCACACUGGGGCUGAGACACGGUCCAGACUCCUACGGGAGGCAGCAGUGGGGAAUUUUGGACAAUGGGGGCAACCCUGAUCCAGCCAUGCCGCGUGAGUGAAGAAGGCCUUCGGGUUGUAAAGCUCUUUCGGCCGGGAAGAAAUCGUAUCAGCUAAUACCUGGUGCGGAUGACGGUACCGGCAUAAGAAGCACCGGCUAACUACGUGCCAGCCGCCGCAGUAAUAC
rnacentral:rRNA from 1 species